GCAAAAAAAGGGAAACGUCCAGCGCUCGCUGCCGCCACGACCUAACUAUCGUCAUGCACGACGACACGAGCACGAUCGCAUCGCGCCGUGACUCCAGCGCUCGCGCCGUCGUCCAUCAGCCGCCUCCGCCCCUCCCACUUUCCUCCUGCUCCCGGGCUCGCGGCCACCGUCCUCGACUCCUCGUGUCCUACGUUCGCUGGCGUGGACUGUGGAGCGCCAUCUGCUAGUCUGCUGGCUGCUUGAUUGCCGCAUCAUGAAAAAGAAGAUGAAGAGAUUUUUUUUCACCAGUGUCUGCCAUGGGGGUGUCUACACCCAUCAUUUCAGAUGGAGGGAAUCAAGCUGCUGAGGGGACAGAAUCAACACGACAGACAGAAACAACCGUAGAUCUAUUCACAAGUAUUGAUGAUGAUGAUAUUGUAUAUCGCUUUCAAUCAUAUAGGUCUCGCAAAGGGCAUUUACCUCGUCGAAGUGGUGUUGGCUCUUCUUCCACUGUUGAUGAGGUUAUGCGAGGCACUGAUGAAGCAAACCAUUGAUUUGGUACUCUUUUUAUCACGUACUGUUCUUUGUAGUUUUUUUUCAUGUUUUUAUU